AACUUUUAACAACGGAUCACUUGGCUCUCGCAUCGAUGAAGAACGCAGCGAAAUGCGAUAAGUAAUGUGAAUUGCAGAAUUCAGUGAAUCAUCGAAUCUGUGAACGCACCUUGCACCCUUUGGCAUUCCGAAGGGUAUGCUCGUUUGAGUGUCAUUGUAGUCUCAUGCUCCCGAUGCUUUUGGAUCGGGAGUGGUGGACUUGGGUGUUGCUGCUUUACUGUGGCUCACCUCAAAUGGAGUAGUGCAACUCUCGGUUGGACAUAGUACGGCGUGAUAAGUGUCUUCGCCGGCGCCUCAUUAGAGGGUGGCCGAUCGGGAGCUCUGUGCUUCAAACCGGCUUCGGACAACAUCUGACAACUUGACCUCAAAUCGAGUAGGACUACCCGCUGAACUUAAGUAUAUCAAUAAGCGGAGGCU
rnacentral:misc_RNA from 1 species